UGAGGAAUAUUGGACAAUGGGUGAGAGCCUGAUCCAGCCAUCCCGCGUGCAGGAAGACGGCCCUAUGGGUUGUAAACUGCUUUUGUAUGGGAAUAAACCACCUUACGAGUAGGGUGUUGAAGGUACCAUACGAAUAAGCACCGGCUAACUCCGUGCCAGCAGCCGCGGUAAUACGGAGGGUGCAAGCGUUAUCCGGAUUCAUUGGGUUUAAAGGGUCCGCAGGCGGGCUUGUAAGUCAGGGGUGAAAGCCGGCAGCUUAACUGUCGAACUGCCUUUGAUACUGCAAGUCUUGAGUGAGGUUGAAGUAGCUGGAAUGUGUAGUGUAGCGGUGAAAUGCUUAGAUAUUACACAGAACACCGAUAGCGAAGGCAGGUUACUAAGUCUUAACUGACGCUGAGGGACGAAAGCGUGGGGAGCGAACA
rnacentral:rRNA from 1 species